AAGAGAAGAAGAAACAAAU
rnacentral:sRNA from 1 species